AUUGAACGCUGGCGGCAGGCCUAACACAUGCAAGUCGAGCGGAUGAGGGGAGCUUGCUCCUGGAUUCAGCGGCGGACGGGUGAGUAAUGCCUAGGAAUCUGCCUGGUAGUGGGGGAUAACGUCCGGAAACGGGCGCUAAUACCGCAUACGUCCUGAGGGAGAAAGUGGGGGAUCUUCGGACCUCACGCUAUCAGAUGAGCCUAGGUCGGAUUAGCUAGUUGGUGGGGUAAAGGCCUACCAAGGCGACGAUCCGUAACUGGUCUGAGAGGAUGAUCAGUCACACUGGAACUGAGACACGGUCCAGACUCCUACGGGAGGCAGCAGUGGGGAAUAUUGGACAAUGGGCGAAAGCCUGAUCCAGCCAUGCCGCGUGUGUGAAGAAGGUCUUCGGAUUGUAAAGCACUUUAAGUUGGGAGGAAGGGCAGUAAGUUGAUACCUUGCUGUUUUGACGUUACCAACAGAAUAAGCACCGGCUAACUUCGUG
rnacentral:rRNA from 1 species